UACGUAGGGUGCGAGCGUUGCCCGGAUUUAUUGGGCGUAAAGGGCGCGUAGGCGGCUCUGCACGUCCGUUGGGAAAUCGCCCGGCUCAACUGGGCGGGGUCAGCGGAUACGGCGGAGCUUGAGCAAGCUAGGGGGCAAUGGAAUUCCCGGUGUAGUGGUGGAAUGCGUAGAUAUCGGGAAGAACACCCGUGGCGAAGGCGGUUCUCUGGGACGGUACUGACGCUGAGACGCGAAAGCGUGGGGAGCGAACAGG
rnacentral:rRNA from 1 species